rnacentral:misc_RNA from 1 species
AAGUCGUAACAAGGUUUCCGUAGGUGAACCUGCGGAAGGAUCAUUAACACAUCCUAUUUCCUAACUUAUACCUUCGAGAACAGUACGAUACCGCGAGAUGGUGGGACGAUGGCACCUUGGUUUUAGAGCCUUUCUCUUUCGAGGGAGAGGUUGGUGUUGUCGGCCUGCUGCCGGGGCGUAACCGGGCUCUCUUUUCUUAUUAGACUAGAGCUGCUCGGAAGCGUGCAUAGCCGGCCACAAGCCUAUCGACGGUAAUACAGCUUCUACCAUGGCUGGCCCUUUUUUUUUCUCAAUUUAAACCUGCAACUUCUUACUGAUUUUCGGCUUCGGAUCGAGAGGAGCAAUCCUUUCUCUGGGGUCUUCGGAUUUUUUCAAUCCAAAACACAACUCUUAACAGCGGAUAUCUCGGUUCUC